GAACGCUUCUUUUUCCCCGGAGCUUGCUCCACCGGAAAAAGAAGAGUGGCGAACGGGUGAGUAACACGUGGGUAACCUGCCCAUCAGAAGGGGAUAACACUUGGAAACAGGUGCUAAUACCGUAUAACAAUCAAAACCGCAUGGUUUUGAUUUGAAAGGCGCUUUCGGGUGUCGCUGAUGGAUGGACCCGCGGUGCAUUAGCUAGUUGGUGAGGUAACGGCUCACCAAGGCCACGAUGCAUAGCCGACCUGAGAGGGUGAUCGGCCACAUUGGGACUGAGACACGGCCCAAACUCCUACGGGAGGCAGCAGUAGGGAAUCUUCGGCAAUGGACGAAAGUCUGACCGAGCAACGCCGCGUGAGUGAAGAAGGUUUUCGGAUCGUAAAACUCUGUUGUUAGAGAAGAACAAGGAUGAGAGUAACUGUUCAUCCCUUGACGGUAUCUAACCAGAAAGCCACGGCUAACUACGUGCCAGCAGCCGCGGUAAUACGUAGGUGGCAAGCGUUGUCCGGAUUUAUUGGGCGUAAAGCGAGCGCAGGCGGUUUCUUAAGUCUGAUGUGAAAGCCCCCGGCUCAACCGGGGAGGGUCAUUGGAAACUGGGAGACUUGAGUGCAGAAGAGGAGAGUGGAAUUCCAUGUGUAGCGGUGAAAUGCGUAGAUAUAUGGAGGAACACCAGUGGCGAAGGCGGCUCUCUGGUCUGUAACUGACGCUGAGGCUCGAAAGCGUGGGGAGCAAACAGGAUUAGAUACCCUGGUAGUCCACGCCGUAAACGAUGAGUGCUAAGUGUUGGAGGGUUUCCGCCCUUCAGUGCUGCAGCUAACGCAUUAAGCACUCCGCCUGGGGAGUACGACCGCAAGGUUGAAACUCAAAGGAAUUGACGGGGGCCCGCACAAGCGGUGGAGCAUGUGGUUUAAUUCGAAGCAACGCGAAGAACCUUACCAGGUCUUGACAUCCUUUGACCACUCUAGAGAUAGAGCUUCCCCUUCGGGGGCAAAGUGCCAGGUGGUGCAUGGUUGUCGUCAGCUCGUGUCGUGAGAUGUUGGGUUAAGUCCCGCAACGAGCGCAACCCUUAUUGUUAGUUGCCAUCAUUCAGUUGGGCAUUCUAGCAAGACUGCCGGUGACAAACCGGAGGAAGGUGGGG
rnacentral:rRNA from 1 species